rfam:Nelumbo nucifera unplaced genomic scaffold scaffold00045, whole genome shotgun sequence
UUAAUGUUUCUUGCUCAAAUGAGUAUUCCAACUGCCACUUCUCUCCGAUGCUUAUAAUGCCACUUUUCGCAUUAUAUUUCUAGCUAUCUGCUAGACCUGGUACUGCGAUACUCAUCUGAGCAAGCAACGUUAA